rnacentral:rRNA from 1 species
UCCGGCGACCGGCGCACGGGUGAGUAACACGUAUGCAACCUGCCCUCUUCAGGGGGACAACCUUCCGAAAGGGAGGCUAAUCCCGCGUAUAUCGGUUUCGGGCAUCCGAGAUCGAGGAAAGAUUCAUCGGAAGAGGAUGGGCAUGCGGCGCAUUAGCUAGACGGCGGGGUAACGGCUCACCGUGGCGACGAUGCGUAGGGGUUCUGAGAGGAAGGUCCCCCACACUGGUACUGAGACACGGACCAGACUCCUACGGGAGGCAGCAG